AGAGUUUGAUCAUGGCUCAGAUUGAACGCUGGCGGCAGGCCUAACACAUGCAAGUCGAGCGGUAGCACAGAGAGCUUGCUCUCGGGUGACGAGCGGCGGACGGGUGAGUAAUGUCUGGGAAACUGCCUGAUGGAGGGGGAUAACUACUGGAAACGGUAGCUAAUACCGCAUAACGUCGCAAGACCAAAGUGGGGGACCUUCGGGCCUCAUGCCAUCAGAUGUGCCCAGAUGGGAUUAGCUAGUAGGUGGGGUAACGGCUCACCUAGGCGACGAUCCCUAGCUGGUCUGAGAGGAUGACCAGCCACACUGGAACUGAGACACGGUCCAGACUCCUACGGGAGGCAGCAGUGGGGAAUAUUGCACAAUGGGCGCAAGCCUGAUGCAGCCAUGCCGCGUGUAUGAAGAAGGCCUUCGGGUUGUAAAGUACUUUCAGCGGGGAGGAAGGCGAUAAGGUUAAUAACCUUGUCGAUUGACGUUACCCGCAGAAGAAGCACCGGCUAACUCCGUGCCAGCAGCCGCGGUAAUACGGAGGGUGCAAGCGUUAAUCGGAAUUACUGGGCGUAAAGCGCACGCAGGCGGUCUGUCAAGUCGGAUGUGAAAUCCCCGGGCUCAACCUGGGAACUGCAUUCGAAACUGGCAGGCUAGAGUCUUGUAGAGGGGGGUAGAAUUCCAGGUGUAGCGGUGAAAUGCGUAGAGAUCUGGAGGAAUACCGGUGGCGAAGGCGGCCCCCUGGACAAAGACUGACGCUCAGGUGCGAAAGCGUGGGGAGCAAACAGGAUUAGAUACCCUGGUAGUCCACGCCGUAAACGAUGUCGAUUUGGAGGUUGUGCCCUUGAGGCGUGGCUUCCGGAGCUAACGCGUUAAAUCGACCGCCUGGGGAGUACGGCCGCAAGGUUAAAACUCAAAUGAAUUGACGGGGGCACAAGCGGUGGAGCAUGUGGUUUAAUUCGAUGCAACGCGAAGAACCUUACCUGGUCUUGACAUCCACAGAACUUAGCAGAGAUGCUUUGGUGCCUUCGGGAACUGUGAGACAGGUGCUGCAUGGCUGUCGUCAGCUCGUGUUGUGAAAUGUUGGGUUAAGUCCCGCAACGAGCGCAACCCUUAUCCUUUGUUGCCAGCGGUUAGGCCGGGAACUCAAAGGAGACUGCCAGUGAUAAACUGGAGGAAGGUGGGGAUGACGUCAAGUCAUCAUGGCCCUUACGACCAGGGCUACACACGUGCUACAAUGGCAUAUACAAAGAGAAGCGACCUCGCGAGAGCAAGCGGACCUCAUAAAGUAUGUCGUAGUCCGGAUUGGAGUCUGCAACUCGACUCCAUGAAGUCGGAAUCGCUAGUAAUCGUAGAUCAGAAUGCUACGGUGAAUACGUUCCCGGGCCUUGUACACACCGCCCGUCACACCAUGGGAGUGGGUUGCAAAAGAAGUAGGUAGCUUAACCUUCGGGAGGGCGCUUACCACUUUGUGAUUCAUGACUGGGGUGAAGUCGUAACAAGGUAACCGUAGGGGAACCUGCGGUUGGAUCACCU
rnacentral:rRNA from 1 species